rnacentral:rRNA from 1 species
GCUUAACGCGAAGAACCUUACCCAGGCUUGACAUACAUAGGACGCUAUCAGAGAUGAUAGUUCUCUUCGGAGCCUAUGAACAGGUGCUGCAUGGCUGUCGUCAGCUCGUGCCGUGAGGUGUUGGGUUAAGUCCCGCAACGAGCGCAACCCUUGUCAUUAGUUGCCAACACGUAAUGGUGGGAACUCUAGUGAGACUGCCUAGGUUAACUAGGAGGAAGGUGAGGAUGACGUCAAGUCAGCAUGGCCCUUAUGCCUGGGGCUACACACGUACUACAAUGGCCGGUACAAAGGCAGCGAAACCGUAAGGUGAAGCAAAUCCCGAAAGCCGGCCCCAGUUCAGAUUGUAGUCUGCAACUCGACUACAUGAAGUUGGAAUUGCUAGUAAUGGCGUGUCAGCAAUAACGCCGUGAAUACGUUCCCGGGUCUUGUACACACCG